AGCGAACGCUGGCGGUAGGCUUAACACAUGCAAGUCGAACGGCAGCACAGUAAGAGCUUGCUCUUACGGGUGGCGAGUGGCGGACGGGUGAGGAAUACAUCGGAAUCUACUUUUUCGUGGGGGAUAACGUAGGGAAACUUACGCUAAUACCGCAUCUGCCCCACGGGUGAAAGCAGGGGAUCUUUGGACCUUGUGCGAUUGAAUGAGCCGAUGUCGGAUUAGUUAGUUGGCGGGGUAAAGGCCCACCCAGGCGACGAUCCGUAGCUGGACUGAGAGGAUGAUCAGCCACACUAGAACUGAGACACGGUCCAGACGCCUGCGGUACGGAGCAGUGGGGAAUAUUGGACAGUAGGCGCAAGCCUGAUCCAGCCAUACCGCGUGUGUGGAGGAGGCCUUCGGGUUGUAAAGCCCGUUUGUUGGGAAAGAAAAGCAGCAGGUUGAUACCCCGCUGUUCUGACGGUACCCAAAGAAUAAGCACCGGCUAACUUCGUG
rnacentral:rRNA from 1 species